ensembl:lncRNA
AUAAACUUCCUGUCCUAUUAAACAAUGAGGCAUUCAAAAUCUGCCCGAGUAAAAGUCCCCUGAUGCAAUGAGAGGGUGAGCAAUUUCAUGUCAGGCUGUUGUUAUGGGAUUUAAACAUGUCCUAGCUAGGGUUUGAGGUGAAAGUCGGAGCCAAAGACAAUAGCCCUAAACCCCACAUGCGCAGGAACUUCAUUCCAGAGCAGCUUCCUCAAGAGAGCGGGGUAGACAUUCUACAAACAAAGUGACUUCAAAGGUGGGCCUGCAUCACACGCCUCCCUCCUUGACUUUAGCCCAGACCACCACGGCCCCUUUGUUUCUUGGUUUACUUUAUGAGAUUCUCACACACAUUACAACGCAAUUAUCUGAGCUCGCGGACCAACAGGAAAGCAGUCAUCACUGAGUAAGCCCCGACCCCUGCUCACUGUAAGCCGAUAGGAUAGGCGUGCUGGGCACCCGGGACAUGAUGCCCUCCCCCCACAACACACCCAAGACUCUUCGGUUGAAUUCCCCGGGGAGGAGGCAGCCAGGGGAUAGGGAACGGGGAAAUUUUCUUACAUCACUUGACGUGCUUGCUUUCACUCACAAAACCCUGAGUCAUGACUGUAGCAGCGUUGCCUCGGGCCCUGGCUGAAAUCAGAGGCUAUAGAUUUGGAAACCUGACUCCACGGCUGACUCUUGUCCAAUUCAUAGGAAAUGUGUAUUUUAGUUGCCCCUCUCCAGGCUGAAGUGCCUUCUAAUUGAGGGGAUUACGUGAGGAAAGUGGCUGUGCCGUGGUUUAGUAAACUGAUGCCAUGCUAGUGAACAAUAUUUGACAUUCGAAAUCAUUCCACAAGGGAUGGUCUAUUUGUCACCCCCUCCUUCAUUUUCACACCUCCAAAACUGCAUGCUCCUUGUCUGAAUCCCUCUUCAGGGAUUGUUGCUGCUACCUAUGAUGGGUUGUCUAAAUGGUGAAACUCACACUGCCCUGCUGAGGCUUGGCCUGUAAUGUUCUUGCCAACAUAACCUUCUCCCAGCAAUGUGCAGUGAGCUGACCACUGAAAACCAGCCUCAACAUGUGCUUAAGGAUUCACCCACAUUAAGACUCUUGCCAAAGCCAUGCUCAGGUAAUAUGAUCUUCCAAUGUGUUUGGAAACAAAAAACAAACAAACAAAGCAUUGUUAUGUGAAAAAGUAAAAAUUUACGACAUCCUAAGGAAAGUUCAGAUUUUUUUUUUAAGUCUAAGGGAAUCUAUUUCGUUUGGUAUCAAUUCUGGGUAAUAAAAGGUAGGUAAGAACAGAUGAUUAACCUAAACUACAAUACAUUUUUAUAUAAUGAAUGUUCUAGUAGCAAAAGGGAUAAAUCCAAAUCUAGAGCUAUAAGCAAAAUGUUUUAGGAAGUGUCUAGUCAUUUUACAGAACUAUACAGUUGUCCCUGGAUAUGCUAGCUGCUUUUAAGUAGCUAUAAGCAGUUAUCUGACAGAAACAAUUCCAAGCAAAGAUCUGUUUGGGCUCCUGGAUUCUGGGGGUUCAUGACUGCUUGACACAUUAAUUUCACAAGAACAUUACAGGGAACACAUGGAAGAGGAAGUAAUUUACCUCAUGGCACACAGGAACCAGGAAGGAGACAGGCAAGACACAGCUAAGGACAUACUCUCCACUGACUCAGUUCCACCACCUUCCUGUAGCAGAUUGUAUCCAUGGGAUGAUCCAUUCACCCAUCUAUCUGUGAAAACUCCUUCACAGGUGCACCCAGAGACAUGCUUUAGGAAUGCUAUGUAUUCCCCAAUCCAGGUGGCAAUCAAAAUUAACCAGCAUAUUUGGUGUCCAUGGGAGAUUAAUGAAGCUACAACUUCCCCUCAGAUCCUCAGGUAUUAAAAUCAAAAUGUUAGUGUAGUAAAGGCCACCAAGUAACUAGCAGAAAAAGGCCUUGUCACAUCACAUUAGAGCGGGAAAAGGGAAAAUUAGCUAUUAGAAGUCCAAGUCUUCCCAACAGCAGUAAAAACUGUAUGGGGGAGGGGAGCCCCCAGGAGCCUCCAGACUUGCAGAGGAAGCCCCUUCUUCCAAGCUGCCUCACUCAGAGAAUUUCAGACAGAAACCCUUUUUUUCUAUCAAAAUGCUGAUGACUCUACUUGUAGAAACAUCUCAUUCUAAAAGCCCUCUCUGCUGCUUGCUUUCUGAGCUUUAAUAAAUCCUGGAUUAGCAUGAAAACCACCCAGGCACUGACUCCCCACAUUUCCCGACGAGCUGUCUGGAGUUGGCUUCUUCUUAUUGAGUAACUUCCCCAAGUUGGAAAGCUGCCCAGUGCAUGGAACUUAGAACUACUCACUAAACUCAGAGCAGGGCAGAAACAUCCCCCAUGCCAAUCCUGCAAACCCAGACUGGCUUUUCUUCCUUGUUUCGUUUUCCUUGCUUUUUGCUUUCUCCCUCAUAGCAAUUCCUGAGGUUUUUGUUUUGCUGGGAACUGAACCUGGGACUUUGUACACACCAGAGAAGUACUCUAAUACUGCACGACACUCCCAUCACCUAUGCUCUUCUUUUUAACAAAAAUGGAAUUUGAGUUCCUAUCCAUUCCUUUGAACUACAACACAUGGAAGUCUAAAGUGCCUUAGUUCUGCUAUCUUAUGGCUUCUACCACCAGAUAGAUUGGAGGCAGCCUCUGUUCCAUUUCCUUUUUCAGCACUCCACUGUAUUCAAACAUGUUCCCAGACUUCUAGGACAUUGCAAUGCUACAGCUGUUCUCUCUGGAGGGUCACACUAAUGUUUCCAGUCUUAACAAUUUUUCUGGCUGAUACUUCAGAUGGGCUCAUAUACACUUUCACUGUUUCUAAAAUGUCACUUUAGCCUACACCUGCCUUUCUCCAUUCCCUUCUGCUCUUUCUCCCCUCUAGCUGAGCUUCUAAAGAGCCAAAGUCCUCAGCCUUACUAUAUUACCAUCAGCCUCUUAGUUGGCUCAUACCUCUAACCCCAGCACUCAGGAAGUUGAGUUAGAAGGCUAGAGGAGUUUGAGGCUAGCCCGGACUACAGUGUCUUUCUACCUACAAAACGGUAAAUGAAAGAUGCUUCAAGUGCAUUUUUUAAAGCUUUUUCUUAACUGCAAUUAUAUAUAUAAUAACUUACCACUUUUGUCAGGUUCAGCAGGUUAACUACACUGCAGCCAUCAUCACCAUGCACUUCUGAGUGCUUCCUGCUGUAAAGGGAGAUUUCUAUUCAUUAAGCACCAACUCCCCAUUUCUCCUCUACCCAGCUCUUGGCAAUCAUACUCCUACUUUCUUUGAACU